rnacentral:rRNA from 1 species
AUGGGCAUACCGCCCUGAAUGCGCCCGAUCUCGUCUGAUCUCUGAAGCUAAGCAGGGUCGGGCCUGGUCCGUACUUGGAUAGAAGAUUUCUCUCCCUCUCUUCAUCCUCUAACCCUGCUCUGGCUUGCUCAUU